UAAUACGGAGGGUCCAAGCGUUAUCCGGGUUCAUUGGGUUUAAAGGGUGUGUAGGCGGAAAGGUCAGUCAGUGGUGAAAUCCUGCAGCUUAACUGUAGAACUGCCAUUGAUACUUCCUUUCUUGAGUCUAGUUGAAGUGAGCGGAAUGCGUCAUGUAGCGGUGAAAUGCAUAGAUAUGACACAGAACACCGAUUGCGAAGGCAGCUCGCUAAGCUAGUACUGACGCUGAGGCACGAAAGCGUGGGUAGCAAACAGGAUUAGAUACCCUGGUAGUCCACGCCGUAAACGAUGAUUACUCGAUGUUGGCGAUAUACUGUCAGCGUCCAAGCGAAAGUGUUAAAGUAAUCCACCUGGGGAGUACGGUCGC
rnacentral:rRNA from 1 species